UUAACUCAAAUUUGUAUGGAGUUGGAACAUUUGCCGCUAGGAGCGCUAUUCCAACUGCAUACAAAUUUGAGUUA
rfam:Bombyx mori DNA, contig: Bm_scaf55_contig27588, strain: p50T/Dazao, build 2, whole genome shotgun sequence.